CGUGCGCACGCGCCGAAUCCCGCAAGGGAACCGGGGAACCACCAACUUGGGGUGAAUCACGCGGAAGUCGCCGUGGCAGCACGGCGGUUAUACGCGCGUAGGAGACCUUCCUGCUCCGAACCCGUCAGCUAACCCGGUAGGCGAGAAGGAAGGAAAGG
rnacentral:sRNA from 2 species